GAUGUGUCUGCACUUCCCCAAUGGCACUUGCUGCGGUAUAGUCCAGAAAGUGAGACCAUUGAUUAUCCAGGCAGGGACUACACACGUAUUUCACUUUCUGUGUAUAUCUGUAUCUUUUCCCAUGAUAGACUUUGUUUUGGCAAAGGACAAACAUACUCAUAGCAAGUGGGGUAUGUUCUAAAGUUUCCUGGUUUAGACUUGCCCAUUGUGACCAUAUCAUGUGACUCCUUGCAUAAUCUAGGAUAUGGAACUUCUCUGAAUUACUUCCUGCAUCAUGUCUAAUAGCUGUAGUUGUUAACAAAGCUUACAGCUUGCAGGGAUGAAAAGUCUAGUAAGGCAUUUUGAAAGCUGGUCAAGGGGCAAAGUCUCAUGACAGCUAAUAUGUACUUCAUUUUUAAUAUAAAUUUCUCUAGGCUUAAUUUCCAGUGACUGGAGUUUUGUAUACCGGAUUGGAGACCACUCUAUUCUGUUUCUCUGGGAUAGUCUGCAAAAAGCAGGAUGACUGAAAUUUUCUCCAAGAUCGUCUUGGUACUAGGUCCCUCUUUAAGGCUAGUAAUGAGCUAUCAUAACCCUGUAAUGCUUCAAAUUACUCUAGAGUUUCGUGUUCCGGGAAGUUUAAUAUUUAGACUGAUUCAAACUCAGAAAUGACGUAACACUUGGUCACAAACCAGUAUGAAAAAGCAGGGACAUAAUUGCACUCUUGAAUGAAGCAAGUUAGAUGUGUAAUUCUGCCUAGGUCAUCCAGCAUGAGGUUUCAUUUCAGAAGCACCUCUGUCUGAUGUCAGGCUUUUUUUUUCCAUCAACAGGCCCAUAAGUUGAUAACCUAGUUAAGUUAUUUAUCAAAAUUGUGGAAUUCAGACAUUUUUCAGGGGUGCAUUAACGCUCCCUGUAACCCACUGCUAGUUUAGAACUUUGGAGGAAAUGGCUUGCUUUGGCUGAGAGAUUCCAAUUUAGAAGAGACAAACCCAGGAGUGUGUCUCCAGCUGCAUCUGAGGGAUCACUUCUGGCUCCAGCACGCCUUGACUCUCUCCUGUUAGUCCAUAGCUGAGUGGAACAGAGGAGGACCCAGGCAAUAUCUAAAUACAGAUGGUGUUGAGAAUGAUUUCAGGAUAUCACAGCAAAUGGAGUGCUUCAGUAUGGGCAAACAGAACUCAGGUAUAUUGUGCUAUUCCAAAAGUUUCUUAAAUCCAGUCCUGCAAAGUUGUCUUUUGUUAUCCUGCAAGGAUUUAGCUUGAGGUUGAUUAUACUGAAUUCCAAAUAGUCGCACUUACUAAGUGUUACACAGCCUUCAAGGUGUAAACUAGGACUACAGACUAUGACGUUUAGACAUUACCUGUACUUUUAAUACCACAAAAUUUGUAUUGCUUUUAAUAAAACUCAUUCCCUAGGUU